UAUGUUCCAGUUGCUCCUGUUUCCACUCUGAGAAGAGCAGCAGCUAGAAGCAUCUUCCAGAAAUGUCAGAAAGGCUACCUAAAAUUUUUGGGAUUCAUCUGCAGGCUACUCCUUUGGCUAUUCCUCCAAAUCAGCCUCACCCCUCCGAUCCUCCACACCAGCCUCACCCUCCUCCCGGCCCUCCAUGUCAGCCCCACCAUCCUGGUCGGUCAUGCCAGCUCCACCCUCUUUCUGUCCCUUCACACCACCCUCAAACUCCUGGUCCUACAUCCCAGCUUCCCCCUCCUUGUCCUCCUGCUGGGCCUCCCAGUGCUUCUGGUCCUUCACCCCAUCCUCACCCUGCUUCCGGUCCUUCGCUCCAGCUUGCCAAACCUUCAGAUUCUCUACCCCGGCUUCCCUUCCCUUGUCAUUCACUCUAUCUUAACCCUCCUGUUCUUCCACACGAGCCUCACCCUCCUUCUGGUCCCCCACCCUGGCCUCGCCGUCCUGGCCUCCCACACCGGCAUCACCGUCCUCUUCCUCUAAGCCAGUCCCCCGCUUCUCAUUCUCCAUCCAGCCCUCACCUUUCUCUUCCACCCAGCCCUCACCCUCCUUCUCAUUCUCCACAUCAGAUUCACCUUCCUUCUCGUCCUCCACCCCUGGCUCACCUUCCUCCUUGUCCCACAUCCCAGCUUCACUCUCCUCAUCCUCCACCCCUCCCCCACACUCCUUCUUGUCCUCCACUUGAGCCUCUCCCUCCUCAGCCUCGACCCCAGCCACACUCUCUCUCUCCUCCUCCACCCCAUCCUCAUCCCCCUCGUCACUUUUCUCCUCCUCCAACCCAGCCUCAAGCCCCUUCUCAUCCUAAAGCGCAGCUUCACUCUGCUCAUCGUCCAGCCCAGCCUCACCCUGCUCCUCCUCCUACAACCCGGCUUCACCCUGCUCAUCUUGCAGCCCAGCUUCAGCCGGAUGUUCUAAGCCACGCUCAUCCUCCUCACUCUUCAACUCGGCCUCACCCUCCUGCUGACCCUCAGCCCCAGACUCACCCUCCUGUCCCUCUAAUCCGGGCUUAUCCUCCUCUUCCUGCAUUCCCUCCACACCCUCCUGCUCAUCUCACCUACCGACCUCACCAUUCUUGUAUUCCUAAACCCCGGCCCCAACCCUGUGCUCGGCUUCCACACAAGCCUCUUUCUCCCUUUCUUUCACCUUGGCCUCAUGCUCCUGACUCUUCAUACCCACUUCAGGCUUGUUUUCCUUCACUACAUCAGUCUUCCACUCCUUGUCACCCUUCACGCCAUCUUCAAACUCCUGCUGUCAGUGCAUCCUGGCAUCCCUCUCCCGCAAAUUUCCCUCUCUCUCCUGGCCCUCCAUGCCAGCCUCACCCUCCCUUGAAUCCUCCAUCCAAGUCUCUCCCUCCUUCUGGUAUAUUUCAUGAUUAUUCUCCAGUCCUCCUAUCUGAUGAGUCUUCUGAGAAUUCCAGCAUAGAGGAGAUCACACCCACAUGCAGUGAAUGUCUCUCAGAUUUCUGCUCCACAUUUCACCCCAUUCUUGAUAGUAACUCCCCCAAUGACUUGGCCUCAUUUCAAUUCAUGAUCAGCUCUUCUGUUCCUACCAAAUCCCCCCUUUUCCUCCCUGUGAAUUUGCCUCCCGUUUCCAGUUCCCCCUCUGACUUCUCCCUGAGUCCUCCUGACAGCCCUACUUAUUAGUCCCCUGUAUUCCACCCUGCAAAUCCAGUGACCUCAUGAUCCAUGAAUCUCCUCUCAAGGGAUAUUCUCCCUCCUGCUGGGCCAGUUCUGGUACAUCUCACAAUGGAAGCACUCUGGAUGUCCAGCAGCCUGACCAGAUUGUUGGUAAAGGUGGUCGCCAGUGAAGAAGCACUUACCUCCUGCGUGUCAUCUCCACAAACUAUUUCAGGAUGGGAUCCAGGAAUUUUUACUAAUCAAGCUUGCUCCAGAGAGCUGCAACAGAUGUCUUAGCAGUGGGAAUAUAUCGGGAGCCAAAGCAGGUUGUGAGAGGUAAUUUGUGCAGGUGGUGUCAAUGAAGAAGCAUGUAGUUGCUUUGUGUCAAGCCUCCACAAACUAUUCCAGGUGAGAUCCAGGGAUGUCUACUCAUUAAGGAGAAGCUGCAACUGUUGUCUUAGGCACCGGGAUAUACUGGAAGUCAAAACGGGAUUGUGAGAGCGGUGACGACCGAUAAUGAAAAUAACGUGAAAGUUUAAAGUCACUGAGGAAAUGAGGAAAACCGUAACCUGAUGAUAGUUCUGUCUGUCUCCACAGCCAUGCUACAUCACAGUGCUUUGAGAGAGACUCAGAAAGAAACAACCAUCGAAGUUAAUUCUUCUUUGUAACCUGCAUCCCCUUCAAUUUGCACCAGAAACAACCUUGCAUGUCCUUAGGAAAUGAGGGCAGUCCUCCUGUGUCCUGAAUCCCUGAUACUGUGAUUAUUGGUACUACAAUCCCUGGGGCUACUCUUACUCACAGGUGGGAACUGGAGGGCCUUACCUGCAUCUCUGUUUUAGCUGGUCUUUGCCUAUUCAGAAUUGCAGGCAUAACCUUAACUUGCACUGUAAGACCUAGGUAAGGACCAUAGUGCAUCCUACAGCUCUGAGUCUGUGACUUUGAUGUAUGUCCCAGGACACCUGUGAUCACUAAUGGGGACUGGGGAAGGCCCUAUCUGCACCCCACAGUUCCAGGCUUGCAUUUGCUAGUGCAAUCUCCACGGAAAUCUGUGAUCAACCUGUGGAUGUGGGUAAACUACACUCCAGUUCUGGUAGUUCUGGGACCAGGAUUGCUGGAAAUAUAAAGAAACACUUGACUACUUGCUGUGAAACUUGGGGAGGACUCUGUCUGCAUCCCACUGCUCCAGAUCUGAUGCAACAGUGUUGCCCUAGGUUUUUGAAUUUCAGUUAACUUCAGAGGACAUGAAAACUCUUGAUGGACUGAACAGAAAUUUUCGCUAUGAUGCCACCUCUUUUUUUGAUCGCCACCCUAAUUACCCAUUUUCUGAUGAAUAUUAACAUGGAGGACUGCAUCAUAGCUUUCACUAGCAGCUCCUGCAUGUGGAUCAUGAUGUGAGAGACAUCUUAAAUUCUGGUGAUUGGACCCCUCUCUUCUGAUUAAUCCAAGCUGCCUUCCAACUCACAUAGAGCUAAGGAUAUAUUAGAAAGUAAAGGCACUGCAUCUUCUCAUGUGAUGGAAAAUAAAUAAAUUGUUUUUGCA